ACGGGAGGCAGCAGUGGGGAAUAUUGCGCAAUGGGGGAAACCCUGACGCAGCAACGCCGCGUGAAGGAAGAAGGCCUUCGGGUUGUAAACUUUUGUCGCAAAGGAAGAAAAAAAUGACGGUACUUUGUGAGAAAGCCACGGCUAACUACGUGCCAGCAGCCGCGGUAAUACGUAGGUGGCGAGCGUUGUCCGGAUUUACUGGGUGUAAAGGGCGCGCAGGCGGGCUUGCAAGUCAGAUGUGAAAUACCGGGGCUUAACCUCGGGGCUGCAUUUGAAACUGUAAGUCUUGAGUGUCGGAGAGGAAAGCGGAAUUCCUAGUGUAGCGGUGAAAUGCGUAGAUAUUAGGAGGAACACCAGUGGCGAAGGCGGCUUUCUGGACGAUAACUGACGCUGAGGCGCGAAAGUGUGGGGAGCAAACAGGAUUAGAUACCCUGGUA
rnacentral:rRNA from 1 species